AAGUCGUAACAAGGUUUCCGUAGGUGAACCUGCGGAAGGAUCAUUACAACGUAUCCACGUACCAAACUCUCGAACCGUUCCCAACGAAGCAAACACUUGUGGAUGAAGUUAAUGGCUGUCUGUCUUUCGCUGAUUGAGUCCGCUGACUUUUGUCAAAGGGACUGAAAGGCAUUCGGUCGCCGGAGCUCGUCUCUGGGGCUUCGUUUACUUCGUUGCGGUUUUACCGUCAGCGUUUGUAAUACCAUUAUUGACCCUUUGAACUUAUGAACUGAACUUGAUAGCUUUGCAGCUGUCCUUGCUGGCUUCGGUCACGGACAUAACUGCUCAGCUUAUCACAUUUACAAAACAAAGAACAACUCUUAGCAACGGAUAUCUUGGUUCUC
rnacentral:misc_RNA from 1 species